AAUAAUUAUGUAUAUCUUUAAUAAAAUUAGAGAGAUGUUUAUACGUACUUGUUAAAUAAAAUUAUGACGAAUGAAUUACAUAUACGUUAAAUAAAAUUAGAGAGAUGCUUAUAUAUACGUGUUAAAUAAAAUUAGAGAGAUGUUUAUACGUAAACGUUAUAUUAUUCGUCUAGGAUUUACAAAUACAAACUUUUUACACUAAAUCGAUAAUUAAUUACAUGAAUUAGUAUGUUUUAAUUAUUUACAUGCUAAGUUUUUACAACAAAGUUCACUUGUGACAAAUAUUGUGCAUUGGACACUGAUAUCCAC
rnacentral:lncRNA from 1 species